CAUAACCUCUUCGAAACUGGGUAUAAUACCCGAUAGGUCUCGAUUGCUGGAAUGCAUCGAGAUUUAAAGCUCCGGCGCCUAAGGAUGGGUCUGCGGCCUAUCAGGUAGUAGUGGGUGUAGCGUACCUACUGGCCUACGACGGGUACGGGUUGUGAGAGCAAGAGCCCGGAGAUGGAUUCUGAGACACGAAUCCAGGCCCUACGGGGUGCAGCAGGCGCGAAAACUUUACAAUGCUGGCAACAGCGAUAAGGGAACCUCGAGUGCCAGGUUACAAAUCUGACUGUCGAGAUGCCUAAAAAGCAUCUCAUAGCAAGGGCCGGGCAAGACCGGUGCCAGCCGCCGCGGUAACACCGGCGGCUCGAGUGGUAACCGUUAUUAUUGGGUCUAAAGGGUCUGUAGCCGGCCGGAUAAGUCUCUUGAGAAAUCUGGCAGCUUAACUGUCAGGCUUUCAGGAGAUACUGUCUGGCUCGAGGCCGGGAGAGGUGAGAGGUACUUCAGGGGUAGGGGUGAAAUCUUGUAAUCCUUGAAGGACCACCAGUGGCGAAGGCGUCUCACCACAACGGACCUGACGGCGAGGGACGAAAGCUACGGGCACGAACCGGAUUAUAUACCCGGGUAGUCCUAGCCGUAAACGAUACUCGCUAGGUGUCGGCCACGGUGCGACCGCUGUCGGUGCCGCCCGGGAAGCCGUGAAGCGAGCCACCUGGGAAGUACUGCCGCAAGGCUGAAACUUAUAGGAAGUGUCGGGGGAGUACCACAACGGGUGGAGCUUGCGGUUUAAUAGGAUUCAACGCCGGAGAUCAUAUCGGGACCGACAGCAAUAUGAUGGCCAGGCUGAAGACUUUGCCGGAUUAGCUGAUAAGUAGAUGCAU
rnacentral:rRNA from 1 species